rnacentral:rRNA from 1 species
ACGAUCAUACGACAUUAAAAACACCGGUUCUCGUCUGAUCACCGAAGUUAAGCAACGUCGGGCCCGGUCAGUACUUGGGAGGGUGACCACCUGGGGACAUCUAAUUCUGUAGUUG